UUUAAUUCAUAAUGUUAUGUUAAAAAGACGUGAGUAAAAGGGAUGAUCACCUCUGGAAGAUGUUAAGGAACCAGCUCACUAUCUUGAAAACUGACACACGUGCCUGAACAAUGCUGCCGACUGCAGGAGGAGGAUGAGAAGUUCACGGAGCUGACUCACCCAGACAGCUGCCCCAGCCAGGAGCCUCUGAGCACAGCCACCCACAGGCACAGGAGAUAAAGCUUCUCCCUUUUCAAAGUUGUGGUCAUUCAAGUGCUAUCUACAAGUUUUUUGAACUCCCUGCUACCUCUUCAUUGCUUCUGAAACAAUAUUGCAAAGUAGAUUUUUUUUUUCUUUUGAAGUCUACAUUUUCAGGGCUUCCCUGGUGGUUCAGUAGUAAAGAAUCCACCUGCAAACGCAGGAGACAUGUUCCAUCCCUGAUUUUGGACAAUCCCAUGUGCCUCGGAGCAACUAAGCCGUGUGCCACAAUUGCUGAGCCUGUGAUCUGGAGCCCCAGAAUUGCAGCUACUGAGUCACAUGCUGCAAAUGCUGAAGCCCAAGUGCCCUAGAGCCUGUGCAACAAAAGAAGCUGCCACAAUGAGAAGCCUGCAAACUGCACGG